GGGAGACCACGCUAUUUUCACAAUAAUAAGUAAUUUAUUAUAUAAUAAACAUAACAAUAAGAAGUGUGGUGCAAGUCAGUAUAAAUGUAAGUAACCAAAAAGGUAAUGUAAAUAUCAGUCCAUGUGAAUACAAAGGAAGACAAAGGAAAGCCAAUGCUGGGAGGAGGGAGAAGCCACGUCUGCUGUCUGGGCAGGCUCUUUAUACUGCCACCGGUCCAUCCCACACCUGCCGACAAUCUCCUAAUCAGGAGGGAGAGGAACACAGGCAUACACAGCAGGGGCGGGGUCAAAGACCCAACUGGGUCGUCACAUCCCCCCCCUUAAAACAGAAGCCCACCUAAAUGGGAUUCUGUUCCAAAGAAACAACCACAUAAAAUAAUCGAUCAAAAUAAAAACAAUAACCAAUCAAUCCAAAACAUCAAAACCCAACUACCCCCAGUUAUCUCCCCCCAACUUCCAUGUCCCUUUUAAGCAAUGCUUGUCAAAUGCUUACCAAAUAAAUGCUUAUGUUGCUCUAAACCGGAUGAAAGAACAAGGCUACAGCGCACCGAACAGCCAACCAAUUGAACACAGGUGUAACAAAUUUCCCACCAGACCGGAGCAGCCCCGCAUCUAACUGUAGAACACAGCCCUACGUACUUCUAAGCUAGUCUUCGGUGUGCCCAUAGCAAUUUGGUUACAAGCAACCCCAGCGCGUCCGACACACCAAAAAUAACAAACUAAAACAACAAAGGCAAAACAAUAAACAGCGGUAAGCGCUCUACUCCUAACGCGAGGACUAUCAGUUGCUCCAGAAGAUCUAAUCUACCAGCCUUCCAUGGUAACCGCCACACCUGCACCCAAUUGAAGCUACACCUAGCCUCCUAAUUGGCUCUACUCCUCCCCAGCAAAUCAAACAAAGCAAUCCAUAUCAACCAAAUAACCAAUUAAUCCAAAAUCUCAAUUUAUCAUUUAACCAACUCAACUAAUUUAGCGCGGGUCUCCCCCAAUUCCAUUUAAUGCCACUGCCCAGAAAAUUCCUACCCGUCAGUACAAACAAAAAGCCAAUUUGACAAAAAUUGCCAAUCC
ensembl:lncRNA